rnacentral:rRNA from 1 species
UACGUAGGGUGCAAGCGUUAAUCGGAAUUACUGGGCGUAAAGCGUGCGCAGGCGGUUUUGUAAGACUGUCGUGAAAUCCCCGGGCUCAACCUGGGAAUGGCGAUGGUGACUGCAAGGCUAGAGUUUGGCAGAGGGGGGUAGAAUUCCACGUGUAGCAGUGAAAUGCGUAGAGAUGUGGAGGAACACCGAUGGCGAAGGCAGCCCCCUGGGUCAAAACUGACGCUCAUGCACGAAAGCGUGGGGAGCAAACAGG